AGCUGAGUUCCUAUUCAGGGAAGCCACUACACGUAGCUUCGGACGUACAUUGGACGGUAAGCCUGGGCGUGUUCGGAAGGUGGUCCGAUUUUCCCGCCCAGCUUUAACUGAGGCCAGAUGGUAAGAGGUUGCCUCAGUGGGGUCCUUAAAAGACAACUUGAUGAGCCUAGGUUUUGGGCCAGGUCGUCCAAGGCGGAUAGCACCCGUUGGGGGAACGCAGCCUAGGUCUUUGGCUGAGUUGGCAGCAAAAGCCUGAAGAUCAGCCAUGUCUUCUGGCACCCCAAUGGCAAUGACUUCAUGGAAUCGGAAGGGCGUC